UACAGGGGGGGCAAGCGUUGUUCGGAAUUACUGGGCGUAAAGGGUUCGUAGGUGGCUAACUAAGUCAGACGUGAAAUCCCUCAGCUUAACUGGGGAACUGCGUCUGAAACUGGAUAGCUUGAGUGCAGGAGAGGAACGCGGAAUUCCAGGUGUAGCGGUGAAAUGCGUAGAUAUCUGGAGGAACACCGGUGGCGAAGGCGGCAUCCUGGACCAACACUGACACUGAGGAGCGAAAGCCAGGGGAGCAAACGGG
rnacentral:rRNA from 1 species